GACGAACGCUGGCGGCGUGCCUAAUACAUGCAAGUAGGACGCAGUUGCGAACGGGUGAGUAACGCGUUGGUAACUACCUAUUAGAGGGGGAUAACUAUUGGAAACGAUAGCUAAUACCGCCUACUAGUAGAUGGACCUUCGUUGUAUUAGCUAGUAGGUAGGGUAAUGGCCUACCUAGGCAACGAUACAUAGCCGGCCGGGGAGGGUGAGCGGCCAAACGGGGACUGGGAAACAGGCCAGACGCCUAAGGGAGGCAGGAGUAGGGAAACUUCGGCAAUGGGGGGAACCCUGACCGAGCAACGCCGCGUGAGUGAAGAAGGGUUUCGGAUCGUAAAGCUCUGUUGUUAAGGAAGCGGUACUUAACCAGAAAGGGACGGCUAACUACGUGCCAGCCGCCGCGGUAAUUC
rnacentral:rRNA from 1 species